rnacentral:rRNA from 1 species
AUACGUAGGGAGCAAGCGUUGUCCGGAAUUACUGGGCGUAAAGGGCGCGUAGGCGGGUAUUUAAGUCAGGUGUGAAAACUCCGGGCUCAACUUGGUGAUUGCACUUGAAACUGGGUAUCUUGAGGGCAGGAGAGGUAAGUGGAAUUCCUAGUGUAGCGGUGAAAUUCGUAGAUAUUAGGAGGAACACCAGUGGCGAAGGCGACUUUCUGGACUGUACCUGACGCUGAGGCGCGAAAGCGUGGGUAGCGAACGGGAUUAGAUUCCCCGGUAGUCCACGCUGUAAACGAUGAAUACUAGGUGUAGGAGGUAUCGACCCCUUCUGUGCCGCAGUUAACACAAUAAGUAUUCCGCCUGGGGAGUACGAUCGCAAGAUUGAAACUCAAAGGAAUUGACGGGG